AGGUCAGUGUAUGUUGAUCUGCUGCAGUAUUUGCUAUCGCCAGUAGAUGGCAGAGUAGAUUUUCUUUACUACUUUUCAAUUGAAAACUUGUAUUAUACAAAUGAAUAAGGAAAUGACUAAACUAGUGAUAAUAAAAUACUGUGUUCAUAGGAAUUACACAUCUGUUAACAUCCAGAACGCUAUUUCAUAUAUCUUAGGAUGUCAACCAUUAACUGUAUCAUAAAACAUGAGCACACAUGAGCACUGCUUCCAUUUUUAACCUAAGGAGUAGUAUAACCCCCCACCAAAAGGGGGCGCACUAUGCGUUUUAGCAAAUGGAACCCCCCACGAACAAGAAGCCCUUUUCUCCUAGGAUUUCUUCAUGAUACCUGAAGGUCCCGGAUUUCGACGUCCAACUUGAGAGUGUCAACGGAAGUGAUUCCAUAGUUAUCUGCUACUGAAAACUCAGAAGAACCUGAAUCUGAAUGAUGAGAUGGCGCACUUACCCCAGAUCGUGGAUACGGUGUGGCCAACCGUGUAAUCCAGAUCGAACCUGAUUCGUGUAUCGAGAAGACAUCAUACCCCAGUCCUGCCCGUCACGUAGACGGGUAGUACUGAGUAUAGAGACCUAAAGACCCGGACCAGAACGGAACCAUUGAAUCCUCAAGCACACACACUAUUCAAGGACUGUACGGACGAUAUCCAGGGAACUGUACAUAUACACACUGACAGGACUGAAUUAUUUACAAGAUUUAUAUAAUAUUUACUGUUUCUAUUUUGUGCUGUUUAAUACUGUUUUAUACUUUAUAUUGUGAUUGUUCGGUGACUGUUUGUGAAACAAUAAACUGGUCAUUUGUUAAACUUGUU